UACAGAGACUGCAAGCGUUAUUCGGAUUCACUGGGCGUAAAGGGUGCGCAGGUGGCCAGGUGUGUUAGGCGUGAAAGCCCGGGGCUUAACCCCGGAAUUGCACCUAAAACUACUUGGCUAGAGCAUUGGAGAGGGGAGCAGAAUUCAUGGUGUAGCAGUGAAAUGCGUAGAUAUCAUGAGGAAUACCAGAGGCGAAGGCGGCUCCCUGGACAAUUGCUGACACUCAGGCACGAAAGCGUGGGGAGCAAACAGG
rnacentral:rRNA from 1 species